rnacentral:piRNA from 1 species
UCCAUCAGGUUCCUGGCCUGGGCUGCUGUC